rfam:Danio rerio chromosome 4, GRCz11 reference primary assembly.
GUCUCUGUGGCGCAAUCGAUUAGCGAGUUCUGCUGUAAACUGUAAGGUUGAUGGUUCAAGCCCACCCAAGGACG